rnacentral:rRNA from 1 species
GUGCCAGCAGCCGCGGUAAUUCCAGCUCCAAUAGCGUAUAUUAAAGUUGUUGCAGUUAAAAAGCUCGUAGUUGAACCUUGGGCCUGGCUGGCCGGUCCGCCUCACCGCGUGUACUGGUCCGGCCGGGCCUUUCCUUCUGGGGAACCUCAUGCCCUUCACUGGGCGUGUUGGGGAACCAGGACUUUUACUUUGAAAAAAUUAGAGUGUUCAAAGCAGGCCUUUGCUCGAAUACAUUAGCAUGGAAUAAUAGAAUAGGACGUGUGGUUCUAUUUUGUUGGUUUCUAGGACCGCCGUAAUGAUUAAUAGGGAUAGUCGGGGGCAUCAGUAUUCAAUCGUCAGAGGUGAAAUUCUUGGAUUGAUUGAAGACUAACUACUGCGAAAGCAUUUGCCAAGGAUGUUUUCAUUAAUCAGUGAACGAAAGUUAGGGGAUCGAAGACGAUCAGAUACCGUCGUAGUCUUAACCAUAAACUAUGCCGACUAGGGAUCGGACGGUGCUAGUAUUUUGACCCGUUCGGCACCUUACGAGAAAUCAAAGUUUUUGGGUCUGGGGGGAGUAUGGUCGCAAGGCUGAAACUUAAAGAAAUUGACGGAAGGGCACCACCAGGCGUGGAGCCUGCGGCUACUUGACUCACACGGGGAAACUCACCAGUCAGACACAAUAGAUGACAGAUGACCGAGCUCUUUACUUGAUUCUGGGAUGGAGUGCAUGCGUCUAGUGGUGGAGGGAUUGGCUGCUUAUGCAUACGACGAGACUACUGCUAAUAGGCAGGCCGUUGCCG